GCGGGCGUAGCUUAGUGGCAAAGCCUCUGCCUUCCAAGCAGAUGACGCGGGUCCGAUUCCCGCCGCCCGCU
rnacentral:tRNA from 1 species